GGCUUUAUGGUGCAGUGGUUAGCACAUCUGCUUUACACACAGAAGGUCCUGGGUUCUUGCCCCAGGUAGAGCCA
rnacentral:tRNA from 1 species